GACAUCCAGAGAACUUUAGCAGAGAUGCUUUGGUGCCUUCGGGAACUCUGAGACAGGUGCUGCAUGGCUGUCGUCAGCUCGUGUUGUGAAAUGUUGGGUUAAGUCCCGCAACGAGCGCAACCCUUAUCCUUUGUUGCCAGCGGUUCGGCCGGGAACUCAAAGGAGACUGCCGGUGAUAAACCGGAGGAAGGUGGGGAUGACGUCAAGUCAUCAUGGCCCUUACGGCCAGGGCUACACACGUGCUACAAUGGCGCAUACAAAGAGAAGCGACCUCGCGAGAGCAAGCGGACCUCAUAAAGUGCGUCGUAGUCCGGAUUGGAGUCUGCAACUCGACUCCAUGAAGUCGGAAUCGCUAGUAAUCGUAGAUCAGAAUGCUACGGUCGAAUACGUUCCCGGGCCUUGUACACACCGCCCGUCACACCAUGGGAGUGGGUUGCAAAAGAAGUAGGUAGCUUAACCUUCGGGAGGGCGCUUACCACUUUGUGAUUCAUGACUGGGGUGAAGUCGUAACAAGGUAGGCGUAGCGAG
rnacentral:rRNA from 1 species